AGAGCGAACGCUGGCGGCAGGCCUAGCACAUGCAAGUCGAGCGGCCGUAGCAAUACGGCAGCGGCAGACGGGAUAGUAACACGUGGGAACGCGCCCUUCGGUUCGGAAUAACUCAGGGAAACUUGAGCUAAUACCGGAUACGCCCUUACGGGGAAAGAUUUAUUGCCGAAGGAACGGCCCGCGUCGGAUUAGCUAGUUGGUGAGGUAAUGGCUCACCAAGGCGACGAUCCGUAGCUGGUCUGAGAGGAUGACCAGCAUCACUGGGACUGAGACACGGCCCAGACUCCUACGGGAGGCAGCAGUGGGGAAUAUUGGACAAUGGGCGCAAGCCUGAUCCAGCCAUGCCGCGUGGAUGAUGAAGGCCCUAGGGUUGUAAGUCCUUUUAACGGGGAAGAUAAUGACGGUACCGUAGAAUAAGCCCGGCUAACUUCGCGCCAGCAGCCGC
rnacentral:rRNA from 1 species